rnacentral:rRNA from 1 species
GGUUGAUCCUGCCAGUAAUAUAUGCUUGUUUCAAAGAUUAAGCCAUGCAUGUCUAAGAAUAAGCGAACUUAUUCAGUGAAUCUGCGGAUGGCUCAUUAAAACAGUUUGAAUCUAUUCGAUGGAUGUGCGAGAGUACUACAUGGAUACCCGUAGUAAUUCUAGAGCUAAUACAUGCAAGAACGCCCGACUUUACGGAAGGGUUGUAUUUAUUGGAUACUAAAACCAAACCGCGCAAGCGGUUUUGUUUGUUGAUUCACAAUAACUGAUCGGACCGCUUCUUAG